rnacentral:rRNA from 1 species
CCCGCUGAACUUAAGCAUAUCAAUAAGCGGAGGAAAAGAAACUAACAAGGAUUCCCCUAGUAACUGCGAGUGAAGCGGGAAAAGCUCAAAUUUAAAAUCUGGCGGUCUUUCGGCCGUCCGAGUUGUAAUCUGGAGAAGCGUUUAUCCGCGUUGGACCGUGUACAAGUCUUCUGGAAGGGAGCGUCAUAGAGGGUGAGAAUCCCGUCUUUGACACGGACUACCAAUGCUUUUGUGAUGCGCUCUCGAAGAGUCGAGUUGUUUGGGAAUGCAGCUCAAAAUGGGUGGUAAAUUCCAUCUAAAGCUAAAUAUUGGCGAGAGACCGAUAGCGAACAAGUACCGUGAGGGAAAGAUGAAAAGCACUUUGGAAAGAGAGUAAAACAGUACGUGAAAUUGUUGAAAGGGAAACGCUUGAAGUCAGUCGCGUCUGCCGGAACUCAGCCUUGCUCAUGCUUGGUGCACUUUCCGGUCUGACGGGCCAGCAUCGGUUUUGGGCGGCGGACACUGGCGAGGGGAAGGUGGCAGCUCCGGCUGUGUUAUAGCCCCCCGUCGCAAACGUCGUCUGGGACCGAGGAAUCCGGCGCAAGCCUGGGAUGCUGGCGUAAUGGCUUUAAGCGACCCGUCUUGAAACACGG